rnacentral:rRNA from 1 species
CCUGGCUCAGGAUGAACGCUAGCGGCAGGCCUAACACAUGCAAGUCGAGGGCAGCAUAAAAUAGCUUGCUAUUUUGGUGGCGACCGGCGCACGGGUGCGUAACGCGUAUGCAACCUACCUUAUACUGGGGGAUAGCCCGGAGAAAUUCGGAUUAAUACCCCAUAGUAUUGUGAUAUCGCAUGGUAUUAUAAUUAAAGGCUACGGUAUAAGAUGGGCAUGCGUCCUAUUAGCUAGAUGGUGAGGUAACGGCUCACCAUGGCGACGAUAGGUAGGGGGCCUGAGAGGGUGGUCCCCCACACUGGUACUGAGACACGGACCAGACUCCUACGGGAGGCAGCAGUGAGGAAUAUUGGUCAAUGGGCGCAAGCCUGAACCAGCCAUGCCGCGUGCAGGAAGAAUGCCCUAUGGGUUGUAAACUGCUUUUAUUUGGGAAUAAACCUCUUUACGAGUAGAGAGCUGAAGGUACCAAAUGAAUAAGCACCGGCUAACUCCGUG